GGGGGUGUAGCUCAGUUGGUUAGAGUGCCGGCCUGUCACGCCGGAGGUCGCGGGUUCGAGCCCCGUCACUCCCG
rfam:Oceanibaculum indicum P24 contig4, whole genome shotgun sequence.